GCCGAGGUGGCGGAAUUGGUAGACGCGCUGGAUUCAAAAUCCAGUAUCCGCGAGGGUGUGAGGGUUCGAGUCCCUCCCUCGGCACCA
rnacentral:tRNA from 1 species